UGGUAUGAUCAUUGAGUAGACGAAGAACU
rnacentral:piRNA from 1 species